ACAGAGGUGGCGAGCGUUGUUCGGAUUUACUGGGCGUAAAGGGCGCGUAGGCGGCGGAGUGUGUCGGGUGUGAAAUCCCAGGGCCCAACCCUGGAAGUGCGCCCGAAACUGCUCCGCUCGAGUCCGGGAGGGGAGAUCGGAAUGCAGGGUGUAGGGGUGAAAUGCGUUGAUAUCCUGCAGACCACCGGUGGCGAAGGCGGCUCACUGGAACGGCUCUGACGCUGAGGCGCGAAAGUCGGGGGAGCAAGCAG
rnacentral:rRNA from 1 species